rnacentral:lncRNA from 1 species
AGCUAUCCUAUGGAGUCCUUGAUCUGGAUCUUGAUGCUUCCAAAAUCAGAGAAUAGAUGAAUAUUACAGAAUUUUCCAACCCCUUUAACAGAAAAAUGCAGAAUCCUUAUAUAAUGAACGCAACCACGCCGCACGCCAGAUCCAUCACGCCGCGCGUGGUUGCACUUUCUUCAACGACGCCGCGCGUGUAACGGUAUCACGCGGCGCGUGAUCAAAUCUGAGGUCUCUGAUCUUCAACUCUGCCAUCUUCACGCCGCGCGUGAUAGCUCCACGCCCCCGGCGUAGUUGUUCCUCUUCUCUUCACGCCGCGCGUGGUCAAGUGCUACGCCGCGCGUGAUCAAGUCAGAGAGCAAUCCAAUUCCUGAACAAACUUUCACGCCGCGCGUGGUCAGGUAUCACGCCGCGCGUGAUCAAAUUGAAAACUUGGCUCCCUGUGAUCUCCAUCACGCGGCGCGUGAUGGGCUACGCCCCCAGCGUAGUGAAAAUCAGCAAUUUCCUGCAAUUUUUCCUGUUUUCUUGCAAAACAAGUAAUCAAGCUUAUGAUUAGAUUUCUCUUACAUUUAUUGCUUAAAACCUACUAAAAUGCAUUUAAUGUUGCUAAAAUAGGCAUGGAUUAGAGAGUGUGACGAUCCGUCAUCA